rnacentral:rRNA from 1 species
CGCGUAGGUGGUUUGUUAAGUUGGAUGUGAAAGCCCCGGGCUCAACCUGGGAACUGCAUCCAAAACUGGCAAGCUAGAGUACGGUAGAGGGUGGUGGAAUUUCCUGUGUAGCGGUGAAAUGCGUAGAUAUAGGAAGGAACACAAGUGGCGAAGGCGACCACCUGGACUGAUACUGACACUGAGGUGCGAAAGCGUGGGGAGCAAACA